ensembl:lncRNA
UGGGCACAGCCUCCCGGGGGAGACGGGGAGACGGGCGGUCAGCUGCACUUCCAAGGAGGGCUGAGGUGCCUUCCCUUUCUCUCUCUCUCCGUCCCUGCAGGAAGAGCCUGGCCUCUCUGACUGACAGUGACAGAUUAUCUUAUCAAAACAUGGGCCCGGGACCACACUGUGAUUGGCUGGGCAGAACCAUGGGGCUGGAGGAGUCUUCUUGGAGAGAAACGAUUAUCAGGCAUUUUAAGAACAGGGAGCUGAAUGCUACUCACAGCUGGCAGUUCUUGUUUAUGACAAGUAAUAAUUGCCUCAGGUGCGGAGGAAAGCCGGGGAAGGCUCAGUGAGUUCAUUCCGAGAGGACGCUCUGAGCAAGGGUUGGGCUCUGGACACAAAGGCGUGAGGGGAAGCUGGGCCAGGGGGCCUCAGAUGGACUCACUGGGGGCUGGGGGAGCAUCAUGAGUGGCCCUGAGUGAAGAUGUGUUUCCAUCUGUGCCCCUGGGAAUACCUUCUGCCAGGUUAGGAGUACGUUAGUUUGGUUUAGUGAUUUUUCAUGCUGGUUCUGGAAUCAAAGACUCUUGGUGGGAUUCUUGGCUCUACCGUUUACUGUGCAAAUUUGGACAAAUGACGAACAUUUUUGAGAUCAGUUUCUUCAUCUCUCGAAUGGAAAUAACGAUUCUGUGAAGAUCGAGAUAACGCACGGAAGGCAUUUAACACAAUCGCUCUGACGUAGCAGAUACCACAUCAUGAAUCAGUGCUGUGGAGAAGUUCAUGUGAAGAGGGGGUCAAGGACUGCAAACAACCACAUAAAUGAGCUUGGAAGGAGAUCCCCCCAGUUGAACCUUUAGAUGAGACCACGGUGUCCAACAGCUUAACUGCAAUCUCACGAGAGAACUUGAGCCAGAGGCACCCAGGAGUUGAUGGAGGAUGCUGAGGCCUGAGGCCACGCUCCUCCAGCUUUUCAAGUCUCGGUGAUUUUGGAAACAGCUGCAGGGACUUCACCCCCUGCCAGGCUUUGGACAGCGGUGGCCCCUUCAGAUCAGUGGAAGGCUCUCCUCCUUUUCCUUCCUCCCUCGGAGGUUUUCUUUUUGCACGUUGGACUUCUCUUCAUGGAUCAUCUGCCAGAUAGGUGGACCAAGAAUUCUUACUCUUUACAGAUUUUCUUCCCUUAAUGGUCCUGUUCUGUGCUGUCACCCUGGCACUCUUAGCAGCUGGCAGGAAAUGUUUAUAGAGCAAGCUUUUCUUUCUCUUUUUAAUAGCCUUCUAGGCUGCCACCUCCCAAAUAAGAACCUCGUUAACCAGAAGGACUCUAGGCUACUGAUUUAUAUUCCAGUCAUACCAAGAGGAAAAGAAAUGACAAAGGGAAAAAGAAAAUGCCAAAGUAUCCAUGGACUGGUUCCAACACCCUGUCUGAUGACGAGUGUGUAUAUCUAUUUAAGUUCUGGGUGCUAAGGGAUUCCUUCCAGAUUUUAGUAUUUGACCUAUUACCCUUGUGUCACAUGGAUUCUCUGUACCUCUUGUGGGUUUGCUGAAAACAAGGGUAAGAAUUUAAUUGUUCCAUGCCAUUUAAAUAAGAAAUCUAUUACUUUCAAAUAAUAAAGGCACUUAUUUCAACAGAGAUGUUAGUAUCUUAGUAAAGAUGGUGUCCAAGCUCACGGUGUCUUCGGAGGAUGGCUAAGGGCUCACCGCCUAUCACCCUGCACAGACACUGAAGGGCCAGCAUCCCUCCGUGAGUAGUGACCCGAGGGCCAUAAAACACAGCUGAAAGUCUUUGGUGGUCCGAAUUCCAGCUCAGUGCUUCAAGGAAGGCUUCCAGGAGGAGGAAGUGCCUUUGGAAUGGGGCUUUGGAACUGGCGUCAUAGAGAACGCAGGCUGUUCCCCAAUAUCCACGCCCCUCUACUUCCAUAGUAGUAGAAUCCCUAAUUUUUAGCUGGGGCCUCCCCCAUACAAAGUAAAGUUUUUUUUUAAUAUUGCUUGCAACAAUGGCCCCAAUUAUUCCCCUUCCUGUACACACAUCCUUCUCCAAAGUGACUUUGUAACCCCUCCUAUUUGGUGGUGGAGUCUAUUCCCCACCCCCACCUCCCACCCCCAACUUGAAUCCAGGCCAGACUUGUGACUUGCUUUGGCCAAUACAACGUGAUGGAAGUGACAUUGUGCCAAUUCUGAGCCUAGACCCCCAGAGGCCUUGCACGCUUCCACUCAAAAUCUUGGACUCCUGCCCAACCACCAUGUGGACAAGCCAGAGCUAGCCCUCUGGAGGAUAGGAGCCCACCUGGAGCAGAGACAAACUGUCCUAGCUGAGGUCAUCCUAGACCAGCCAGCACCCAGCCAAGCAGGCAGCUGACUGCAGGUACACAGUAGGCUCAGCCAAGACUACAAAAACUACCCAGCUGAACUCAGCCCAAAUGGCCAACCCAUAGAACCAUGUGCUAAAUAAAUGCUUAUUGAUUUUACUUUUAACAAAUUGUUUUAUUGAGGUCAUAUUGGCUUAUAACAUUGUAUAAAUUUCAGAUGUACAUUAUUAUAUUUCAGUUUCUGUAUAGACUGAAUUGUGUUCACUACCAACAGUCUAGUUUUCAUCUGUCACCAUACAUAUGUGCCCCUUUACCCUUUUUGCCCUCCCCCCACCCCUUCCUCUCCAGUAACCACCAAUCUGUUCUCCUUAUCUAUGUGUUUGUUUGUUUAUCUUCCAAAUGUGAAUGAAAUUGUAUGGUAUUUGUCUUUCUCUGACAUUUCGCUUAGCAUAAU